UUACGGCCACAUCAUGUUGAAACACCGGUGUCCAUACGACCACCGACGUUAAGCAACGACGAGCCUUGUCAGUAUCUAGAUGGGUAACUGUUUGGGAAUAACAGAUGA